AUGGAAUCACUUGGAACCCUCAGGUCUUUGCGAUUACAUGGAACCUCAAGUUUGGAAUUUCUACAGUUGGAAUCCUUCACACUGCUGGAAGAUCUUCAUAUUGUAAGAUGUACUUCUCUCGUCACACUAGAGGGCCUGCUAUCCCUCGUGAACCUCAAGCAUCUGGUAAUCAAAUCCCCUACCACGUUUGGAGAGUGUUAUGAGCUAACAGGUGGAAUUUUCCCUAGACUGGAAAGUCUUGAAAUCGAUGAUUUGUCUCGCCUUACCACGUCAUUCUACAAGGGCCUCACCUGCCUCCAACGACUACAACUAUAUCUUCUAAAAGAAAAGAGACUAACAGAUGAUCAAGAGAUAGCGCUUCUGCUCCACAGGUCCCUGCAGCAUCUCCAAUUUUUCCAUUGUCUCGAUCUCGUAGAUCUUCCGGCGGGGCUGCACAGCCUUCCUUCUCUAAAGAUGUUGGAUAUCGAAUGCUGCCCAAUCUCAGAGCUGCCGAAGGAGGGCCUCCCACCUUCGCUGGAGAAACUCUAUAUAUGUGGUUGUGAUGAUCUCGUAGAUCUUUCUGCGGGGCUGCACAGCCUUCCUUCCCUCAAGGCAUUCAAGAUCAGAUAUUGUAAGCGCAUCUCAGAGCUGCCAAAGGAGGGCCUCCCACCCUCGCUGGAAGAGCUGGAGAUCACAGGUUGCUGCAACAAGCUGUCAGAACAAUGCAGAUUGCUAACAACAAGCAAGCUAAGGGUCAAAAUUGAUGAUGCUGUGUGA
rnacentral:rRNA from 1 species